rnacentral:rRNA from 1 species
AGUGAACGCUGGCGGUAGGCCUAACACAUGCAAGUCGAACGGCAGCACAGUAAGAGCUUGCUCUUCCGGGUGGCGAGUGGCGGACGGGUGAGGAAUACAUCGGAAUCUACUUUUUCGUGGGGGAUAACGUAGGGAAACUUACGCUAAUACCGCAUACGACCUACGGGUGAAAGCAGGGGAUCUUCGGACCUUGCUCGAUUGAAUGAGCCGAUGUAGGAUUAGCUAGUUGGCGGGGUAAAGGCCCACCAAGGCGACGAUCCGUAGCUGGUCUGAGAGGAUGAUCAGCCACACUGGAACGGAGACACGGCCCAGACUCCUACGGGAGGAAGCAGUGGGGAAUAUUGGACAAUGGGCGAAAGCCUGAUCCAGCAAUACCGCGUGGUUGAAGAAGGCCUUCGGGUUGUAAAGCCCUUUUGUUGGGAAAGAAAAGCAGCAGGUUAAUACCCCGCUGUUCUGACGGUACCCAAAGAAUAAGCACCGGCUAACUUCGUG